rnacentral:rRNA from 1 species
ACUCCUACGGGAGGCAGCAGUUAGGAAUAUUCGGCAAUGGGGAAGCCAUCGACGAGCGACACUGCGUGAAGGAGGAAGGCCUUAUGGAGUUGUGAAAUGCAACUUUUAAAGCGAGGAGGAGGCUACUGAGACUAAUACUCUUGGAUAGUGGACGUUACUCGCAGAAGAAGUCCCGGCUAACUACGUGCCAGCAGCCGCGGUAAUACGUAGGGGACAAGCGUUGUCCGGAUUCAUUGGGCGUAAAGAGCUCGUAGGCGGUUCAGUAAGUUGGGUGUGAAAGCUCCGGGCUCAACCCGGAGAGGCCACUCAAUACUGCUGUGACUAGAGUCCAGUAGAGGAGCGUGGAACUCCUGGUGUAGCGGUGAAAUGCGCAGAUAUCAGGAAGAACACCGGCAGCGAAGGCGGCGCUCUGGGCUGGUACUGACGCUGAGGAGCGAAAGCAUGGGUAGCAAACAGGAUUAGAUACCCUGGUAGGUCAGU